rnacentral:misc_RNA from 1 species
GAUGAAGAACGGAGCGAAAUGCGAUAAGUAAUGUGAAUUGCAGAAUUCAGUGAAUCAUCGAAUCUUUGAACGCACAUUGCGCCCGCCAGUAUUCUGGCGGGCAUGCCUGUUCGAGCGUCAUUUCAACCAUCAAGCCCCCCGGCUUGUGUUGGGGACCUGCGGCUGCCGCAGGCCCUGAAAAGCAGUGGCGGGCUCGCUGUCACACCGAGCGUAGUAGCAUACAUCUCGCUCUGGGCGUGCUGCGGGUUCCGGCCGUUAAACCACCUUCAUAACCCAAGGUUGACCUCGGAUCAGGCAGGAAGACCCGCUGAACUUAAGCAUAUCAAUAAGCGGAGGA